AACUGACUUCUGGCGAGAAAUGUCCAUAUUUUAGGAGUAGAGUUUUACCCGCUUCCUUGGGCCUUUUCUAGGUCCUGCUUUUCACUGAGGCGCAACUAGGAGGAAGCAGCCAUCAGAGUGCGCUUGGCUUAAGAUGUGUGCAGAGAGGAAUGAAGGAGGAGAGGGGUUUGAAUCCAAUCUGCGAAGCAGCUUCUGAAUCAGGGUAGCACAUUCUAUAAGCUUGUUUCUAAACGUGAAAAAAUAACAAUCCCUUACAGGUCCCUGCAAAUAUUUGCAUAGAACACACACCUGCGCUGUGGGGGAAGAGUCAAAGAAGGUAGAGACUGAAGAAAAAGAAAAAAGAAAGAGAAAAAUACAUGACAACUGCGAAGCAACAAAAGGAAAGACAGCAUUAAACUAAAGUAGAAUAAAGAGUCAGACAACAUCACCAAUGCCAAGGGUCCCAUAUCCCUCCAUUAUGACUCCCUCAUGUCUCCCUCUUCUAUGCAUUUAGCUUUGGUAUAUUACCUUUGUUACAUUAA